rnacentral:misc_RNA from 1 species
UAUCUUGAUCUUGAAACUUACGCUUGUAGUCUCCAGUUACCUGUUUCCAGUUCCCGGUCACUACGCGCGUCAGUCCCAACUCACACUGCAUUGUGUGAUUUUGUGGUCGGAAAAAACUACCGUUUGCAGGAUAUUCAAUUGUCAAAGAACUUACGUUUGAAGCUACCAGCUGUCAGCUUCCCGCUACCAGCUGUUCGAGCACCGCUUUCGCGGCGAGCUUCUCUCAAUUUUCAAGCUUGGUCGGCUUACCAUUCCUGGCUUGCCAUCCGUAGCUCGUUCACUUUUCGCCGGUAGCCCACCUU